UACGGGGGGGGCAAGCGUUGUUCGGAAUUACUGGGCGUAAAGGGCUCGUAGGCGGCCAACUAAGUCAGACGUGAAAUCCCUCGGCUUAACCGGGGAACUGCGUCUGAUACUGGAUGGCUAGAGGUUGGGAGAGGGAUGCGGAAUUCCAGGUGUAGCGGUGAAAUGUGUAGAGAUCGGGAGGAACACCGGUGGCGAAGGCGGGUCUCUGGGCAAUUCCUGACGCUGAGGCGCGAAAGCGUGGGGAGCAAACGGG
rnacentral:rRNA from 1 species